rnacentral:rRNA from 1 species
UGGGGAAUAUUGGACAAUGGGGGCAACCCUGAUCCAGCCAUGCCGCGUGAGUGAUGAAGGCCCUAGGGUUGUAAAGCUCUUUCGGUGGGGAAGAUAAUGACGGUACCCACAGAAGAAGCCCCGGCUAACUUCGUGCCAGCAGCCGCGGUAAUACGAAGGGGGCUAGCGUUGCUCGGAAUCACUGGGCGUAAAGCGCACGUAGGCGGCUUUCUAAGUCGGGGGUGAAAUCCCGGAGCUCAACUCCGGAACUGCCUUCGAUACUGGAAGGCUCGAGUCCGGGAGAGGUGAGUGGAACUGCGAGUGUAGAGGUGAAAUUCGUAGAUAUUCGCAAGAACACCAGUGGCGAAGGCGGCUCACUGGCCCGGUACUGACGCUGAGGUGCGAAAGCGUGGGGAGCAAACA